UGGCGCUGUGAGAGCGCAGUGUACCUCUGCGUAGGGUUCGGCGGUGGCUGUGACGGGCCGUUGCGGUGCGGGUGGAGUGGGGUGCGCUGCGCGUGAGGGCAAAAUAUGAAACAGGAGUUUUAAACUCUGCGGACUUGCCAUGGAAGACUCAGAAGAACAUCGCUUCAGCUCCGUUGAAGAGGAAACCAGAUACUGGAAAGAGUUGGCUAUGAAAUACAAGCAAUGUGCUGAGAAUACACAGGAGGAACUGCGAGAAUUCCAAGAAGGGAGCCGAGAAUAUGAAGCUGAACUAGAAACUCAAUUGCAGCAAACAGAGUCCAGAAACAGAGACCUUCUUUCAGAAAACAAUCAUUUGCGAAUGGAACUGGAGUCCGUUAAGGAAAAGUUUGAAAUGCAGAAUUCAGAAUGGUACAGGCAAAUCUCUGCACUGGAAGAUGACUUGGCACAGACAAAAUCUAUUAAAGAUCAACUUCAGAAAUACAUUCGAGAGCUUGAGCAAGCAAAUGAUGACUUGGAAAGAACAAAAAGAGCUGCUAUAAUGUCUCUUGAGGAUUUUGAGCAGCGUCUAAACCAGGCUAUUGAAAGAAAUGCUUUUCUGGAGAGUGAACUGGAUGAAAAAGAAAACCUUCUGGAGUCCAUGCAACGUCUGAAAGAUGAAGCUAGAGAUCUACGGCAAGAACUUGCAGUACAGCAGAAACAGGAGAAACCCAAAACACCAAUGCAAACAAGCCUGGAAACAGAAAGAACAGACACUGCAGUUCAAGCAUCCUUAUCUUUGCCUUCAACUCCCUCCGUGCACCGAGCACCCAACAUCAGCAUACCCACCCCUGCGACAUUUAGGAGAGGUUUUGAGGACAGUUACUGUGCAACCCCCCUCACACCUGCUGCCAGAAUAUCUGCACUUAACAUCAUGGGAGACUUGCUGCGAAAAGUAGGGGCUUUGGAGUCCAAACUUGCCUCCUGCCGAAACUUUGUGUAUGACCAGUCUCCAGACAGAACCACAGUGUCCAUGUACAUGAACAGAGAUGUCCUUGAAACACGCAUGAGUCCUCAUCAGCCUCUGUGUGAUACAGGGUUAGUGAAACGCCUGGAGUUUGGAACAAGACCUUCAAAUAUUCCAGGACCAAUGAGUCAUCCUUCACAAAGUGUUGUUAAAAUGCUGCUAUGAAAAGGAAAAAUGAAAUCUUAUGUACAUACAAUAUGAAUAUCAAUAGGCAACCAGACAGAAGUGUAAGAGUAGGUAGAAAGCAGAGUUCUACAGUUUGAUGAUGCAGAUACAGAAAUUUCCUAUGAAUCAAGUCAGCCUGUGUUUCUGUCUUAGUGUUUUCAGACCCAACAAGUGCAGGAAAACUCAGAUUGAAUUUUCUCUUGGUGUGAAUACAAGCAAAUCAACAAUUAUGUAAUGUAGUUUAUCUUCCUUAAAAGCUCCUCUGUUGUACAUGCAAGAGAUGCCACUUGCUGUAAAAGUAUUAUUCGUGAUACAACCAAGGAAUUCACUGAUGAUCAAUUUACGGAUUCAAGAUUACCAAAAAAGGUAAUGAAUAUUGAACUGAUUCUAAGUAUGGCGUAUCUUUUAAGACCUGUGAAGCAUAUACACAUUAACAGUUUAAAAUCUUGAUAAAGAGUGCUUCCUCAGCUGCUAUUUUAUUACUUUCUUAAUGUGAACUGACUUUUUAAAGGGACAAAUCAUACCAGUAUUGUCAGGCAUAGAAGCUUGAUCAGUGUUUCUCUCCUUCUUGAAGACAAUAUUGCCCAGCUGUAGGACAGACGAAACAACCCUCAAUAUAGCUGUAAGAUAAGCAGACAGUAUAAGUGAGGAAUGGAAUGGACACAUUUUGAAAACUUCAUUCUCUACAAUAAUGAAAGUUCAUUGUGUGGCCUUUGGUAGUCUAUACUUCCAUGGAAAGAUCUAGAUUUGCUAUAAAAGACAGCUAUAAGCUGCAAUAGUUUGAGAGCUUGCAGAAGUGCAGCUCAAAUAAUCAGUGCAAUUGAAUAAAUGGACCACUAAGGGAAUGCCAGCAUCUGCAAAACGUGCUGCAUCCCCAGGUAGACCUCUAAAUCUUGGGAAUUCAUCUCUCAGUCAGAGUGGCCUAUGCUUGGUCAUUUGAGAAUCUCUAUCUCUGCUUUUAAAAUCAAACAUGUCAAUGAGUUUCCAACAGCCUUAAGAACAAGUGGCAAUUCCAAAGCUCUGGCUGUGCAGUAUGUGGCUGUUCAUUCAUGCAAAUGAAUAGUGUACAAAUAUUCACAGGAUUAGUGUGAGUACAAAGCAGUAAUUUAUUAACACUUAACUCUUAAAACGUAGAGAAAUUUCAUGCCUUUUAACCUCAGGUAGUAAAAUCUGCUGGUGUUACAGAUGAGAUCAUAUUAAUCUAGAGAGGUCAUUUUGUUCAUUUGGUAGACUCAUACAGGAGAGCAAUACUGUCCCAAUGGGCUUGUAUUUUAAAUCAUGAAAUGAAAGGGGUUCAGACAGCAAUACAAGUCAUUUUGAUGUCAUGGAUAGUGCUGCUAUCAACACCAAAGCAUGUGUUCUGGCUGUAGAACGAAGCAGUUUUUGUCAGUACCAUAAUCUAACUUUACCAAGACAGAUUUGUACUACUGUCCUGCAAGGCAAAGCAUUUUUUUUCUUAGAACCCUCGGGCACUGAUGCAGAUGGGACAGGUAACAGAAAUCAGUUCUGGCUGACAAAGCCGCUCGAAGGCUGGAGUGAUGGCGUGACACAGUUUCUGCCACCAGGUGUCACUUGAGGCAUGGCGGCUGCAGCCAUGCCGAUGUACGCUGGUGAGCACCAGACAAAACCCUACACUCUCCCCGGAACUGUGAGGGGUAAAUGGUGGUUAGUUUGAUGCCUGUGGCAGGCCCACAUUUUCAAGGUAGCUUAGUUGUUUGUUCAUGUUUAUUUUCUUUUUCUCCGAAACAGUGGACAAAAGUAUGAGUUAUUUCAGAGAAUCACAGAAUUUGAGCCCGAUCCACUCAUUUAAAAAUUAUGUGAAGUAAGAUUCUACAUUCAUAUGUUUAUUUUGAGAAGUGGUCAUUCUGGACAGAAUGAACUGCAGUGCAUUUGGAUCUGUCUAUAUUAUUACUUGCAGAGUACGAUCUUGCUAACAGUUCUCACCUGUCUGCUCCUCCUCAGUAAAGCCCAUAAUUUUCAUGGCUUCCAAGGUCUCCAGGAACAUCUCAUCAUCUUGUUGAGCAGGAAUAGGAACGUGACCAUUAGAUAGAAAAGUAUAGUUGUUGAAGCCUUCCAGCAGCAGAUCAUCUAAAAGACAAAGAAGAAAAGUGAGUAUUUGAGUAGCAUAAAAAGGGCUGGAAAUGACUUAGAACCUGGAGUUACAUCAAUGAAAACAGCAGACAGGUGAGAGCUUCAGCCACACCAAUAUCUCAGAGAACUGUGUCGACAUAAGCUAAUAUUACAGUUCAGAGCAAAAUGAUGAACUUUAAUCACUAAGGAAAACUGGAAGAUGUGUAAUGCAACAAACAUCAAAUUAUGUCAAAAGUGUCUUCAAUAGCACUCAAGUAAAUAAAACCAACUGAUAAGCCAUAGAGGAAUGUGGUUGUCGUUAAAGCUGAAGGUUACAUAGAAGAUCCCCAUCCAAUUGAACAGUCUGAGUGUUUUGCAAAAAUUGGUAGGAAUGAUAAACCAAGGGGAUGCUGGGGAGCAGUAUGUCACACGCAGCAAAGUUUAUUGCAAUAAAAUCACCAUCUGACCCCUGCUACACUAAUUGCCCCCACAACAUCUGGCACUGAUGGCAGGUCAGAACUCAAAGAAGAAAACGUCAGCAAGCCAGGACUCAGAACAGUCAAGGCUUUCAGAACAGGGCUGGCUUAGUUGGUGUUUUGCUAUUGCCUAUAGCAAUUACUUAAAGACUGCAGAAAGCUUCCCAUAGUGCAGUGUGCACUUAGCCAACGCUCCAUGGCUUUGCACACAGGCUUCCAGGUGGGCUGUGCCACAUGGAAUUGCCAAGCCUUGGCUGCUGCAGCUACACAAUAUGCAAACAGCCCAAAAUCACAUGAACAGAAAAGAUCAAUUUCUUAAAAUGACAACGGAUUGAGGAUAUGACAGCAGGCUGCUGACAGGCAGGAAUGAAAAGCAGUUCAGUUAAUACCCAGAAUUCCUCCAUGUUCCUCAGUUUUCUCAGUUUCCUUAAGGGACCUCUUAAUCUACAACUACAGUCCCCGACUUCUUGUAGUAAACUCUGAAUUCAAAGUCAGUUUAAACUGAGAACUGUGCAUUGAACACAUAUUAGGGCACUGAUAUUGCUUCUUAUUUUGUCAACAGGCAACUCUUCUACUGGGACUGCAGAUCAAGCUCUUUGAAGAUUUAGAAAUGCCUUUUUUUCAAAACAUAUCCUUCUGUCUGUGAGGUAUCCUCAAGAUUGAGGAAAAACAAGAUACAUUUUUUUACAACAGCAUAUCAACAAGAAUAUGCAGAGUGAGCAUUAGACCAGGGAAGCCUCUGGGCAGAAGUUAAGACACAAACCCGUUCCUCAUUUUAUUUUACCACGGCUGUGCAAUCCGAUUGUUCCCUGUAAGCGGGCAGCCCUAUGGCUUUCUUGGAGAAGUCUGUGAGGAAGCAGAAGGAAAAGACUCCGCUCUUGGUCACCGGACUUAUCCCUUCCUAAUGCCCCAAGCAGUUGGCAGCCUUAUGAAGUCCUGCAGUAAUAAGCCCUAUGUUGCUAAGUUGUGCAGUCUGAACUGCAAAACCUCCCACUGACAUGCUGGCCAAUGCGCAUUCAUGGAGGGAGAAUAUGCAACACUGCUCCAUUUCCUUCAAAAGUUUCAGCAUACUGCAAAGUGGCUGUGUUGUUACAAGAACAACUUUGAUGGGACUUGAACAUCAUCUCUAAUGAAUACAUUGACCAAGGACAAAUAGCAGAGUUCUGUGCUGAACGAGAAGGGUACUGCUGAACUUCUUGCGUAGCUCCCGUGAGGCUCACUGCUGAAAGGCUUUGAGGAAAGAAAGCUGCUUUGACAGCAGGGCCUGCUCAGAACCCUCAGAAGUGCUGUAUGCAGAGGACAGAGAUCAACACCUGAUCUGCAAGGCAGAUAGAUGGCUGAAGCUUUCAAGGAUCUGCUUCUACCAAAUAUGCACCUUUACCUCAAAGCUUACUGAAGCACACCCUUGUAACAACCUCUGCUUUCAUGGCUGUGGAGACAAAGAGGACGCUGAGCUGUGUUACUGGGGAAGGUCAAGUACCAAAUUUCCCCUUAUCUUCUUUCACGAGAACAAAAAUUGUAUCUAAUUUCAGCAGCUAAAAUUCCAGGCAGCUCCACGGCACCUGAGCAGCUUCUGUACAAUCUAUGGUGGGAAGAUAGAAAGCAGACACAAUGGCUUUGGUUGCCCUGGCAGAUUUGCAUAGCAUAGAAGGUUGUGGCUUCUGUUUUUCAGCAGAGCCUUUUCUUUGCCCUUGAAAAGACAAUUCAAAUUCCAAAUACACUUCGACCCACUGUGUUAUGAGAAACAGAAAAAUAGGUUAUGGACAAACAACCUCUGGAAAACCAAAGUUCAAAAUUCAGGAGUUUCUGUGGCUAGAGCAAUCAUAUCCAUGCUCUGUGAAAGUUCAUUUCUGCAAGUCUCCAGAGAGGCACUUCCAGCUCAUUCCAAAAUGAAAGUCAUUCAUAAAUAACUUAAAAGACUAUUUUUCUGCUGUAAUAUUAAACAGAGGAAUGAAGAGAGAAAAUGAUUUGUACCAGUGUGGCAGGAAAGAGCCCCAGCAGCAAGGCAGCAUACCAUAACAAGAGGCUCUUCAAUGCUCGUGCCAGCCAUCCUUCCUGGUUCUGGAAUUCUAUCUGAAAAUGAAAAAUAAGCACACAUGUUUUCACACGUUUGGAGAGCCAGAGAUGCAACUGUUAAUAAGAACUUUGAUGUGGAAUAUCAUCAUAGCAAGCUCAAUUUUACAACUGUGUUUUUUCAUCCAACUGCAAGACCAAAGACUGGAUCUCAGAUUGCUUCAACCCAGCUCUAAUGAAGUCAGCUGACAGGAAGGUCUGACUGCAACUUGUAUCAACAUCCCCGUUCUGUGUACCAGUUUAUUUGAAUAUUCAUUCAACAACAUAAGCAAGAAGGACAAUUCCUAAUAGGAAAAGCAAGACAGAUGUUAAAUAUGAGACUGUGAAUGCUGAGUAUAUGAAUGCACUUGAUUACCUUGAUUUCUGAUAGGAAUAAGAAUCUUCUAACAAGAAAGAUUAGUUAUAGCAGCUUUGGCACUGACAUUUUAUGUCUUCAGCCCCCUCUACUGGCAGAAGAGCAACAACAUCAUCUUCAUCAAUUCAGUAUUAAGGAAAGGUGCUUAUUCAGUUCUUCCCUUAUGCUUUUUAGAUACUGCAAUAAUAUCUUAGACUUCAAAAUUUUUCAAAUUUCUGGAUACAAAAGGAAUAGAUGGUAGUACUAUGCUGAUAAUAUUAAAUAGUGCAAAAUCCCACAGAGCAGAAGGUGAAGCAAUAUGCCAAACAGACUCCUUGAAAGGGAAAAUAAAAGACCAACGAUCCCUUUCAUUUUGUAGCUUAGGCAAUAUUAACAGCAACCAGGCAGAGAGCAUGAAGGGAAAUAAGAUUCAGCAGUGCCCUAUGGACCAGUGAAGUUGGAGCUUAAGUUUCUGCAGUCGGUGGGACGUGAAUUAGAUCCUCAGAAAGAUUUAUUCCUGUACACAGAACUGGCAGCUUAAACAUUAUGAAUGUUCUAUAGAAAUUAUUAGGACAGAUGAGAAUAUUCCACUAUUUAAUUUAUCUUACUAAGAAUUUGUGUCAAAAUUUCUGUUUUAAAUCGCCAGUGUACCAAGACUGCCUCUAGCUGAUCCAUUCCAGAUCUGUAGUUGUGUAAGGAAGUACAGUUUGGCCAGUUUAAUGAAAAUGGGAAAACAAUUUGUUAGGUCCAAAUUUAAAUGAGUUUUCAGUUUUUCACGGUCCAAAAGAAUUAAAAGAAUAAAGCUAAACAAUUUGGAUUUCUCUGCUUCCCUUCACUAUAAUAGACAGCUGCAGCUACCACACAGUAACAAGAGCUUCGCAGUACCUUUUAUGCUGCAAAAAAUUAUACACAUUUUGCUAUCCCUGAUUUUUAAGAAUGCCUGCUUCCUAAAUAAAAUAGCCAUUCCAAUAAAAUAUCCAUCUAUCUUUCCAUUUGUGAGGGCAAUCAGAUUUGUACACAUUACAUAGCAUUAACAUACCAACAGAAGAGAAGCAGACUUGAGAAGCUAAGUUGGGCACUUAUUUAAAUAAAGGAACAUAAAGAGGUCAUUUUAGAAAUCAGAAGUUAGAUCUAGUACAGCUAUUCUUAAAUGAAUAUAUGAGCAAGAGGGAUGGACAGGUCAGAUGGCUUAUUGGUAUUCUGGCACACAAACAAUGUCCUACUGAAGAAUUUUUUCUAUAAAAAAGGUUUCUGUACAAAACAUUCCUUGUACAGAGAAGGAAGUACCCUGUGUCCACUCGUGUUUAUGCAGUUAUCAGCAAAUCUAGCUCACAGAAAACCCAGUCGCGAAUAAAACUUCUGUGAAGAUGACCCUAUACUCAGACCCACCUGUUUGAUUCCUCUCAGUAGAUGGUUUGGCAAAGUUCUGCCUUGGAUAACUCAGCAAAGACACCUUUGGAAGAGUACUCUGGGUACUUUCUUCUUCACCAUGGUGUAAGAAAUGCGAUAUAAUUCCAUAUAAGAGAGGUCUGCUCAAGGCAAAAAUCACAAAAGCCAUCUAUGAAACAUAUUAACUACUGAGCACUUAAACAGUCAAACAGCUUCUCCUCAGAAGUUCUUACACCUUAACGUUCACUUCUAAGAAUGUUCACAUGUCUUCAGAGUAAUUAUUUAAAAUUCAUUACGGUAAAUGCAAUUAUAUAAGAACAGGCAUAAGCCAUCCCUGAAGACAACCCCUCUCCCAUAGCUUGCACUAAAGGAUGUUCUCAACUGAACUCUAGAUCACUUGUAAGCAAAGAAUCAGAGUACAAAGCACGAGUACAGAGCCGUGUUGCCAUACAAAUUAAACGUGUGACCAGUGGGCUACUGGCUUGAGCACCACCAUGUAUCCCAAACUAGAUUUUCACUAAGCAUGAGUCAGAUUCUGUGGGCCCAAGCUACAGGGCAUCACUAAACAUGUUUAAAUGUGCUUCUGUACCCUUGCUAUCAAACCUAGUUGCAUCAGAACGCUGUGAAUUUAUAUCUUAUCUCACAGUGCAAUAAUCUUUUUACUGCUUUGCGUAUCAACUCGGUAAUGUGUAAAGAAUAUGUUUUCUUCUUCUGACUAAAAAGAAGACUGAAGUGGUAAGACUCAGGCAUGCGAUUACAACAGCUUGUGAACAUAUUCUGUAGGAUUCACAGAAUUUAAUGCUAGCUGAGAGUAUGAUUGAAAAUGGCUCCAUGUUUGACGCUGUGCACUUGAAUCCCACAUGUUUAGAGCAGUUGUGUGAUCUCGUUGUAUUGGGCUGGUGACAGAACAUUUAUAUGUGAUUUAUACAACCAUUGUGAAGACAUACUUGCAGAGUAUAUUGUGCGUUCCAAAAUCAAUGCUUACACUGAUUUUCCAUUUGCAUCUUCAAUGAUGUUCAGCUCCUUGACAAGAAACUGUCUAUCCAAGGGCACUUCAGGCUGGCCAGCUUCUGGAAAAUAGAUCAUACACUCAUACAGCAAACGUAAUUACCACAUCUAAGGACAAUUACAGAACUUUAAAUUUUAAAUACAGAUUAGAGCUACCAGUUAAAUGCUUUAGCUCUCAAAUGUCAGCAUUUCAGCACAUCCAAUGACGAUUAAUUGCAGUUGUUAAAAAAUGCGGGCCUUCUUCAUGUCCUUGUUUGUAUCUAAGCUGAGGACUGAUAAACACACCUCUGACAGCUGACGUGCCUGAACUGCUGCAAAUCAGACUAUCAACUGCUUUAAUACAUUAAUUUAAAUUAUUCCUCAAAUUUGUUGAUUUGUGUGAUUUCCAUUUUUUAAAAUUUUGCUCAAAAGCCAAUCAGAAAUCGCAACAUACGUUUUAUAUGUACAUUAUUAUUAUUUUUAUGUACAUUUUUAAAAUACACAUUUUUCAAAACAAAAGCACGUGUCUGGCAAGGUGUUUUGGUUGAGUAGGCUGCCAGCAAACUUAUUUGCUCUUGCAUUAACUGAUCUGUCAAUGUAAAUGCUGUUUACCUCAAGGAUAAGCAACAAAGAACACAUUUUCUUAAAAACUAAUGGUAUAAUUUGGCAUAACGCUGCAAAUAAUGUGGAGGGUGUUUGUAUCCUAUUUGUUUCCAGGGUCAGCCAAGAUUGCACAGAUUGCACACUUUGUUCCCACUGUUUCAGGAGUUACUCAACCAGGCAGUGAAUACCAAUUACAGCGGCAGUGACACCACAAACUCGGCCCCAGUACCUGCAGUGAGCACAGACGCUGCGUAUUUGUACUUGUUGAAUUCCAGGUAUUCACGGAUCAGCUCAUUGAUCAGGAGGUUCUCAUGAGACAGCGGUGGCCGCGGUUCGCUCUGGUCAUCCAACGCAUUGAACACCUCAGCUCUGAUCCUCGCUUUUAUUUGCCCCAAGGCUCCUCUUUUUUCCAGUGUGUCCUUUAAAACUGUUACCAUAAAAACUGUUAAUAUAAA